rnacentral:rRNA from 1 species
AACGAACGCUGGCGGCAUGCCUAACACAUGCAAGUCGAACGAAGGCUUCGGCCUUAGUGGCGCACGGGUGCGUAACGCGUGGGAAUCUGCCCCUCGGUUCGGAAUAACAGUUAGAAAUGACUGCUAAUACCGGAUGAUGACUUCGGUCCAAAGAUUUAUCGCCGAGGGAUGAGCCCGCGUAAGAUUAGGUAGUUGGUGGGGUAAAGGCCUACCAAGCCGACGAUCUAUAGCUGGUCUGAGAGGAUGAUCAGCCACACUGGGACUGAGACACGGCCCAGACUCCUACGGGGGGCAGCAGUGGGGAAUAUUGGACAAUGGGCGAAAGCCUGAUCCAGCAAUGCCGCGUGAGUGAUGAAGGCCUUAGGGUUGUAAAGCUCUUUUACCAGGGAUGAUAAUGACAGUACCUGGAGAAUAAGCUCCGGCUAACUCCGUGCCAGCCGCCGUAACAC